UACGUAGGGGGCUAGCGUUGUCCGGAAUCAUUGGGCGUAAAGAGCGUGUAGGCGGUCCGGUAAGUCCGCUGUGAAAGUCGGGGGCUCAACCCUCGAAUGCCGGUGGAUACUGUCGGGCUAGAGUGCGGAAGAGGCGAGUGGAAUUCCUGGUGUAGCGGUGAAAUGACGCAGAUAUCAGGAGGAACACCUGUGGCGAAAGCGGCGCACUGGACCACAGCUGACGCUGAGGCGCGAAAGCUAGGGGAGCAAACAGG
rnacentral:rRNA from 1 species